GACGAACGCUGGCGGCGUGCUUAACACAUGCAAGUCGAACGGAAAGGCCCUGCUUUUGUGGGGUGCUCGAGUGGCGAACGGGUGAGUAACACGUGAGUAACCUGCCCUUGACUUUGGGAUAACUUCAGGAAACUGGGGCUAAUACCGGAUAGGAGCUCCUGCUGCAUGGUGGGGGUUGGAAAGUUUCGGCGGUUGGGGAUGGACUCGCGGCUUAUCAGCUUGUUGGUGGGGUAGUGGCUUACCAAGGCUUUGACGGGUAGCCGGCCUGAGAGGGUGACCGGCCACAUUGGGACUGAGAUACGGCCCAGACUCCUACGGGAGGCAGCAGUGGGGAAUAUUGCACAAUGGGCGGAAGCCUGAUGCAGCAACGCCGAGUGCGGGAUGACGGCCUUAGGGUUGUAAACCGCUUUCGCCUGUGACGAAGCGUGAGUGACGGUAAUGGGUAAAGAAGCACAGGCUAACUACGUG
rnacentral:rRNA from 1 species